AUAGAGAAACAUCCAAGAGCGAAUGAACGAAUGCCUGAUACUGAAUGUUGCCUUUCACUGAAACUCUCGAAAGCAUCUGAAUUGCUCACAAGGUGCACCUGUGUAAUGAUCAUGCUGUUUAAUCAGCUUCUUGAUAUGCCACACCUGUUUGGUGGAUGGAUGAUCUUGGCAGAGUUAAAAUGCUCACAAACAGGACCUGAGCCCUAGGACCAUGCCCCAGGACUACCUGACAUGAUGACUCCUUGCUGUCCCCAGUCCACCUGGCCGUGCUGCUGCUCCAGUUUCAACUGUUCUGCCUUAUUAUUAUUCGACCAUGCUGGUCAUUUAUGAACAUUUGAACAUCUUGGCCAUGUUCUGUUAUAAUCUCCACCCAGCACAGCCAGAAGAGGACUGGCCACCCCACAUAUGCUCUCUCUAAUUCUCUCUUUCUUUCUCUCUCUCGGAGGACCUGAGCCCUAGGACCAUGCCCCAGGACUACCUGACAUGAUGACUCCUUGCUGUCCCCAGUCCACCUGGCCGUGCUGCUGCUCCAGUUUCACCUGUUCUGCCUUAUUAUUAUACGACCAUGCUGGUCAUUUAUGAACAUUUGAACAUCUUGGCCAUGUUCUGUUAUAAUCUCCACCCAGCACAGCCAGAAGAGGACUGGCCACCCCACAUAGCCUGGUUCCUCUCUAGGUUUCUUCCUAGGUUUUGGCCUUUCUAGGGAGUUUUUCCUAGCCACCGUGCUUCUACACCUGCAUUGCUUGCUGUUUGGGGUUUUAGGCUGGGUUUCUGUACAGCACUUUGAGAUAUCAGCUGAUGUACGAAGGGCUAUAUAAAUACAUUUGAUUUGAUUUGAUUUUGAUUUGAAUUAUAAUCCACAUAAUUCACAUUUCUUGUUGCUACAGGAUUAUUUUCAUGCUGUAUCAAACUGGCUCAAAUUGAGAUCCUACAUCCAUUUGUGUAUUUAUAAAUGAUUGAUACAGUGCCUUCAGAAAGUAUUCCCACCCCUUGACUUUUUCAACAUUUUGUUGUGUUACAGCCUGAAUUUAAAAUGGAUUAAAUUGAG
ensembl:lncRNA